rnacentral:rRNA from 1 species
AACGAACGCUGGCGGCAGGCCUAACACAUGCAAGUCGAACGCUCCGCAAGGGGAGUGGCGCACGGGUGAGUAACACGUGGGAACCUACCUUCUGGUACGGAACAACCAAGGGAAACUUUGGCUAAGACCGUAUACGACCUCCGGGUGAAAGAUUGAUCGCCGGAAGGAGGGGCCCGCGUCCGAUUAGGUAGUUGGUGAGGUAACGGCUCACCAAGCCUUCGAUCGGUAGCUGGUCUGAGAGGAUGACCAGCCACACUGGGACUGAGACACGGCCCAGACUCCUACGGGAGGCAGCAGUGGGGAAUAUUGGACAAUGGGCGCAAGCCUGAUCCAGCCAUGCCGCGUGAGUGAUGAAGGCCUUCGGUU